CUGCGUGAUGUGACUGCAGUUGUAGUGCGCACUGACGACCCAUAAUGAACGAGAAACCAACUUUGCGUUUACCAAUCUAUCUGAUUC